rnacentral:misc_RNA from 1 species
GUGAUUUUGAAUCGUUACCUUCAGUGCUGGCUGGCUUCAGCAAGUGCACGUUGGUGACUUUCAUCCAAAUACCCCUGUGCACCUUUGGCCUCUUGCUGGCUUCGGCUAGCAGAGGAUUUUACACCAACUCGAAUGUAAUGAAAUCUAUUGUUGUGCGCAAGCACUAUAAUGUA